CAAAAGUUUGGUCCUGACUUUACUAACAAUUCUAGCUAAACUUACACAUGCAAGUAUCCGCGCCCCGGUGAGAAUGCCCUUUACCCCCUGCCUGGGAACAAGGAGCUGGUAUCAGGCACACUUAAAUGAAGCCCACGACACCUUGCUUAGGCCACACCCCUACGGGAAUCCAGCAGUGAUAAACAUUAAGCAAUGAGUGAAAACUCGACUUAGUUAAUGCUAUUUAGAGCCGGUAAAACUCGUGCCAGCCACCGCGGUUAUACGAGAGACUCAAGUUGUUAGUUAUCGGCGUAAAGAGUGGUUAAGAUAAAACAUAAACUAAAGCCGAACGCCUUCAACGCUGUUAUACGCCUCCGAAGGUAAGAAGCUCAACUACGAAAGUGGCUUUACCCAAUUCUGACCCCACGAAAGCUAGGAAACAAACUGGGAUUAGAUACCCCACUAUGCCUAGCCCUAAACAUUGACAGUAUACUACAUCUACUGUCCGCCUGGGAACUACGAGCACCAGCUUAAAACCCAAAGGACUUGGCGGUGCUUUAGACCCACCUAGAGGAGCCUGUCCUAGAACCGAUAAUCCCCGUUAAACCUCACCCUUCCUUGUUCUUUUCAGCCUAUAUACCACCGUCGUCAGCUCACCCUGUGAAGGCCCAAUAGUAAGCAAGAUCGGCACCGCCCAAAACGUCAGGUCGAGGUGUAGCCUAUGGAAGGGGAAGAGAUGGGCUACAUUCACUGGAACAGUGAAUACGAAUGAUCACCCUGAAACGGGUAUCUGAAGGAGGAUUUAGCAGUAAGCAAAAAAUAGAGUGUUUUGCUGAAGUUGGCCCUGAAGCGUGCACACACCGCCCGUCACUCUCCCCAAACUUAGCCCGGAUAUAUAAUUAAUACCCCACAAAAACUAAGGGGAGGCAAGUCGUAACAUGGUAAGCGUACCGGAAGGUGCGCUUGGAACAAACC
rnacentral:ncRNA from 1 species